GUAGGUGGCAAGCGUUGUCCGGGAAUUAUUGGGGCGUAAAGCGCGCGCAGGCGGUUCUUUAAGUCUGAUGUGAAAGCCCACGGGCUCAACCGUGGAGGGUCAUUGGAAACUGGAGAACUUGAGUACAGAAGAGGAAAGCGGAAUUCCACGUGUAGCGGUGAAAUGCGUAGAGAUGUGAGGAACACCAGUGGCGAAGGCGGCUUUCUGGUCUGUAACUGACGCUGAGGCGCGAAAGCGUGGGGAGCAAACAGGAUUAGAUACCCUGGUAGUCCACGCCGUAAACGAUGAGUGCUAAGUGUUAGGGGGUUUCCGCCCCUUAGUGCUGCAGCUAACGCAUUAAGCACUCCGCCUGGGGAGUACGGCCGCAAAGGCUG
rnacentral:rRNA from 1 species